ensembl:lncRNA
CGUCAGGCUCUCCUUGCUGCGGCUUGACCCAACUGCACAUCUCACCUCAGCGUUAUGAAAGUGCAAGGUCUUCAGCAAUGCUAUUGUGGUGCUGGGAUGGAGGAGGAUACAUUGCCUGCAAAACAAUGGUUUCUCUAGCACUUUGAGAACUGUUUACAGGAUAUUCACAUGCAUGUAAGAACACAUUGCAAUAAAACCUUCGGACUGCAUCUCCUUCCACCCUGGCUGAACUGUCAUUUAGAGAAGUGCAACAUUAUUUGCAUACUGUAUUUUAGCAUGCUAAAUAAAAGAACAUAUUUCAGGCAAAGCAUUAGAGAGCUUGGCCUCUGCAUGACUCAGGCUUGGAGGAGAAUAAAUACUGAAUUUUAUUAAGCUUAACGUCUGCUUGAUUCCAGCAUCGUACUGAGUGCCUCUGUACAGUCAGAAAUUAUCAAGUGGAUCUAACGAUGGUUACCUGCCACUAAGGAUGGCAAAUUGUCAGUACUAGUAAUAGCUUCAUUUCAAAAGAAAUUGGUGGACCAAUUUAAAUUGCCCACCUUCUGAACUGCUGAUGUUCUUG